UACGUAGGGGGCAAGCGUUGUCUGGAUUUAUUGGGCGUAAAGAGCGUGUAGGCGGCUUGGAAGGUCCGUUGUGAAAACUCGAGGCUCAACCUCGAGACGCCGAUGGAAACCACCUAGCUAGAGUCCGGAAGAGGAGAGUGGAAUUCCUGGUGUAGCGGUGAAAUGCGCAGAUAUCAGGAAGAACACCCGUGGCUAAGGCGGCUCUCUAGUACGGUACUGACGCUGAGACGCGAAAGCGUGGGGAGCGAACAGG
rnacentral:rRNA from 1 species